UAUACUGACCACUAUACUAUCGAGGAAAUCAAAACACAUGAAGUCGUCGUUGAAUCACGUUACAAAAAAUAUUGAAUUAUUUUCCAUAUCUAUUAUUAUUUGUUUGCGAUGGCCUUAUUGACCUAACAGAAAGUGGCCAUUUUGUUCCAUUUGUUUCUUGUAAAUUUUCAUUCCGGCAUCUUUACGUAUCGUGGUUCAUCGUCGGACUUCUCAUCCGUCCAGAUACUUGUAAAUGUUGACCACUAACUCAUUCGGUCAACGUUCGUUUCUGCUGGACCAGAUCAAUGAAGAUAAUCUGCAAAGAAAUCCGAUUCCGUUCGAAUUUCUUUCUCGCAAACUCUGCAACAAAUCAAAUUGCAAAGUCUUGCAUCGAUGUUUUGAGGAUUAAUAGCAAAUCAAGUCUAAUAAUCUGUUCAUUUCUAUGUUGAAUUUACAGAACGAAUUCCAUCUAUCCCCGGAUCGUAGGAAAAGCCACAAUGAAAGGACACUAUCUCGAAGAACAGAACAAGUUACGGACGUGCUUCAUUGCUUCAAGUUUACGAAUCUGACGGACGUUGCCGAUCUCCAUCUCGCCAUACCGCUUGUCACGAUUUACUUCAAUUUACUUCACAAUUGUUGCUUCGGAUAGAAAUUUUCUUUCAGAAAAGUAUAUCUCGGGUAUUUGGUAUCGAACGGAGGAAGAUCGAGUGGAAAUCUUUUCAUCACGAAUAGGUCACUAACGACUUCAUUGUAGCAGUUGGCUCGAAAAGCAGGAUAACAAUAGAUUUCUUGAUGUGGACUUUCGAAGAGAUCGUUUUAUCUUGAGAUGUAUGAAACCAACUCAAAAGAGUUGAAAGAUUGUCUUCGGCAACAAAAUACCAAAUCAGAGAAACUUUCAUGAAGCAAACAAUGAGUCGAAUCGUUCAAAGUUGGAUUUCCAGGAGCAUUCUUCCAAUCCAAUCCGCCAAGCUACUUUUGUGUAGAUGAGCUGGAUUUUUCCAGUGGAUUCUCAACAUGGCUCCUCUACAACAAUUUUCAAGAAAGAUCUGAAUCAAUCGUUUUUCGGAUGAGGAUGAAACGGCAAUUCCUGAACCAUCACAAGAUUGCGCAGUCUUUUGGUCCAUUGGGGGAAUUCACGCUGAAACUACAGUGAGUUUCAGAUGAUGCUCUUUCGUUGAAUUCACAUGGACUCUGCAGUCGACAUCUUUGUCGGAGCAACUCGUUCUUACAGUGUGCAAACGUCAUCCUGAUUGUUGAUCCUGAAUUUCUUGCGGCAAUUUCCCGACAACAUUUCAGAUUUGAAGAUUACGGUGUGGGGGAAUUGAACCAGUCAAGAUGUCAUACAGAUUGAUCCUCAGAAUGCCGAUCACCAAAGAAAUGUUAUUCAGAAAUCGGUGAUUUCGAUGGUUUUCUAGUUGGUUUUUUACUGACUCCCUGUAGAGAACAAUGCUGAGAACGAUUUCUGAAAAGAUUUUCUCAUGCUGAUUUCGCCAUUGAUCGAUGAUUGCUCUGCUUCGUUGGGUUGUCGAUGAGUUGAACGAUUGAACACAGCACGCGAGUGGAACUGAUUCUUACAAUGAUUUGAUCGGCAAAAUUCCUUGAGGAAGUCCUAAAAACAAUCGGGAUUGCAUUUCAUCAACCAAUGAACAAUUUUUGAUGGCUGACCGCAUUGACGUUUGUUGAAUCUUUCAAGGUCAGGUAAGGAAUACUUGCGGAAUCGCACCGUUUUUGGACUCAACAACCUGUUCAAAAAUUAAAUUAAGUCUGCACUCACUUUACAAAUCAUUUGAAUAAAAAAAAAACAAUCGUAUUGUAAA
rnacentral:lncRNA from 1 species